GGAUUAGAUACCCUGGUAGUCCACGCCGUAAACGAUGGGUACUAGGUGUGGGAGGUGUCGACUCCUCCCGUACCGUCGCUAACGCACUAAGUACCCCGCCUGGGGAGUACGGCCGCAAGGCUAAAACUCAAAGGAAUUGACGGGGGCCCGCACAAGCAGCGGAGCAUGUGGUUUAAUUCGACGCAACGCGAAGAACCUUACCUGGGCUUGACAUGUAUGUGACCGUCAUAGAGAUAUGGCUUCCCUUCGGGGCACAUUCACAGGUGGUGCAUGGCUGUCGUCAGCUCGUGCCG
rnacentral:rRNA from 1 species